rnacentral:rRNA from 1 species
GAUGAACGCUGACAGAAUGCUUAACACAUGCAAGUCAACUUGAAUUUGGGUUUUUAACUUAGGUUUGGGUGGCGGACGGGUGAGUAACGCGUAAAGAACUUGCCUCACAGCUAGGGACAACAUUUGGAAACGAAUGCUAAUACCUAAUAUUAUGAUAAUAGGGCAUCCUAUAAUUAUGAAAGCUAUAAGCGCUGUGAGAGAGCUUUGCGUCCCAUUAGCUAGUUGGAGAGGUAACGGCUCACCAAGGCGAUGAUGGGUAGCCGGCCUGAGAGGGUGAUCGGCCACAAGGGGACUGAGACACAGCCCUUACUCCUACGGGAGGCAGCAGUGGGGAAUAUUGGACAAUGGACCGAGAGUCUGAUCCAGCAAUUCUGUGUGCACGAUGAAGUUUUUCGGAAUGUAAAGUGCUUUCAGUUGGGAAGAAACAAAUGACGGUACCAACAGAAGAAGUGACGGCUAAAUACGUG